GGCCCCGAGUGGACACAGAGGAGGCCACAGAGCAGGAGGAGGCCAUAGGCUUCCUCAGCUGAGGCAGGAAGGGGAGGCCAGGCUCUCUCUGGACCCCCGUGGGUGAAGCUGUGUGAGACGCCUUGAGGGACCCCAGAGGAAGCCCUCCGCUUGCAAAUGCAGCUCAGCCAUUGGGUAUAAGGAACUCCAGGCUGGAACACUGCAUGAUUCAGA